CUACAAGAAAGAGGGCCUUAGCUGACCGAUGGGCCGACCCUUUUCCGACUGCUAGUAUUAACGGCUGCCGGCAGGGCCCCUAUGUAUAAAAGAAAAAAAAACCUAACCUAACUCUCACUCUCACGCGAUUCUCUCCCUCUCUCUGCCACUCCCUCUCCGCUCGCUCUUCCUCUCCCUCCCUCUCUUUGCCGCUCUCUCUCCCUCUCGCGUGCGCUCCCUCUCUCUGCUUCUCCUUCUCCGUCUCCGGUCCUCUCCCUCCCUCCCUCUGCCUCUCCCUCUGCCUCUCCCUCUCCGCUCGCUCUCCCUCUCAUUCUCCCUCUCCCUCUCCCUCUCUCUCUCUCUCUCAAAACCCUAGUCCUCUCUCUCUCUCUCUAUCUCCUCGGCCCUCUGCUGCAACAUCACGUAUCUCUCUCUCUGCUCGAUCUAUCGCACAUCAAGGAGCAUUCUGCUGCAACAUCACGUAUCUCUCUCUCUGCUCGAUCUAUCGCACAUCAAGGAGCAUUCUGCUGCAACAUCAGGGUUUUGAUAUGAAACUAAUCAAUGUAAAUCGAACUUGCAAAGUUACAAAAGGUGAUGCUCCUUUCUCUUUUAUUUGGGUUCUUUCUUAGGAAUAAAAUUCAUUUCUCUAUUGUAUGUGAUCUUUCUCUUCACUUCUUGUUUCGGGGAGGACAAGUGGUCAAGUACACUGCCAUGUUAGCUUGUGGCAACUAUCAUGGAGUUGUGGGCUUUGCAAAAGGAAAAGGCCCAGCAAUUCCCAUUGCCCUCCAGAAGGUAUUCAUGAGCUUACUUCUUUAGAUGAUCUGAAUCCCCUUGUUGUUGAUGACCGUGCUUUGGCAGCAGAUGCGCUGCCUCUUGUGGUGAUUGAACUUCCACACUCCUAUCUCUUUCCAGUUCCAUGGAAACUGUUGCGGAGGGUGCAAAAACAGCUGGUGCUUCACGUAUAAUUGGCGUAAAUAACGACAACAAGAAUUUUGAUGUUGAUUUCAUGGAUUGAUGGAGAGAAAAUGGCAUAACAGGACACAUGUGCCAAUUUGACACAUUAGUAUGGGAUCUAGGACGUUCAUCAGAUGAGGAAAAAACAAAAGUCAGGUCCACAAUGCAAAUCAAAGUACACAACAUUGCAAUGUUUUGGAUGCUGGUCUAUGCUACUCCACCUGUUUUGGCUUUGAUAUACAUACUCAUGGGUAGUAUAGGUGCAUGCUGGAUACUUGGAUUAGUUGGACUUGGAUGGCUGGAGAUUUGUGGUUUGAGGGUCGUGAGUGCAUUCGUCACACAUGAGACCUGCUCUUACAACUUAAGGAGGUAUGUUGUUGUUUGUUGCAAAAACGAUUUCUUUGCUUGCAUGCUUCUGACAUUGAGUUUUUUUUUUUUUUUAUGAGGCUUGUGUGCUUCUGAGUUAUGUUUUUGUUUGUUGUAAAAAAACGAUUUCUUUGCUUGCAUCCUUCUGAGAUUGUAUUUCUUAUGAGGCUUUGCUAAGAUAUGAUUCACCGGUGUUGUUAGUUGUGGUGAGAGACGAAUGUGUGCUGUAGAAACUGAGACAUCUGGUUUGGUGGGAGGAGAAACAAUAAGCAAGACAUGGGAGAACCUUAUGGAAAAUUGCGUGGAAAUGAAGGAACUUGUUUCUGGUUCAUAUUUGCAGGAGAUGUGUUUCCCUUUUUUGCUUUCUCUACCUUUGAAUUUCUCUCACAAUCACAUGUUCAAGAACUGAUAUAAAUUCAUUUACCAUUCAUUCGAAAUCUGUAUGAGGCUGUGAGCGCUGAAUUCGUUUGUAAAAUCCAUGAUAAUUUUUUCAGUGGAAAUGUUUGAAAGCUUCUAUUUUUUACUCAAACAUAAGAAAUCACAUGUUAUUUU